rnacentral:rRNA from 1 species
CAAGGCUUGACAUAUACGAGAACGCUCUAGAAAUAGAGAACUCUUUGGACACUCGUAAACAGGUGGUGCAUGGUUGUCGUCAGCUCGUGUCGUGAGAUGUUGGGUUAAGUCCCGCAACGAGCGCAACCCUCGUUCUAUGUUGCCAGCACGUAAUGGUGGGAACUCAUGGGAUACUGCCGGGGUCAACUCGGAGGAAGGUGGGGAUGACG